rnacentral:rRNA from 1 species
CCUACGGGGGGCAGCAGUGGGGAAUAUUGCACAAUGGGCGCAAGCCUGAUGCAGCCAUGCCGCGUGUGUGAAGAAGGCCUUCGGGUUGUAAAGCACUUUCAGCGGGGAGGAAGGCGUUAAGGUUAAUAACCUUGGCGAUUGACGUUACCCGCAGAAGAAGCACCGGCUAACUCCGUGCCAGCAGCCGCGGUAAUACGGAGGGUGCAAGCGUUAAUCGGAAUUACUGGGCGUAAAGCGCACGCAGGCGGUCUGUCAAGUCGGAUGUGAAAUCCCCGGGCUCAACCUGGGAACUGCAUUCGAAACUGGCAGGCUAGAGUCUUGUAGAGGGGGGUAGAAUUCCAGGUGUAGCGGUGAAAUGCGUAGAGAUCUGGAGGAAUACCGGUGGCGAAGGCGGCCCCCUGGACAAAGACUGACGCUCAGGCGCGAAAGCGUGGGGAGCAAACAGGAUUAGAUACCCCGGUAGUC